rnacentral:piRNA from 1 species
UAUAAUGGUAAACUCAUUGGAGGCUAAGA